rnacentral:rRNA from 1 species
UUUGAUUCUGGCUCAGGAUGAACGCUAGCUACAGGCUUAACACAUGCAAGUCGAGGGGCAGCAUGAACUUAGCUUGCUAAGUUUGAUGGCGACCGGCGCACGGGUGAGUAACACGUAUCCAACCUUCCGUUUACUCAGGGAUAGCCUUUCGAAAGAAAGAUUAAUACCUGAUAGUAUGGUGGGAUUGCAUGAUAGCACCAUUAAAGAUUUAUUGGUAAACGAUGGGGAUGCGUUCCAUUAGGUAGUAGGCGGGGUAACGGCCCACCUAGCCGACGAUGGAUAGGGGUUCUGAGAGGAAGGUCCCCCACAUUGGAACUGAGACACGGUCCAAACUCCUACGGGAGGCAGCAGUGAGGAAUAUUGGUCAAUGGGCGAGAGCCUGAACCAGCCAAGUAGCGUGAAGGAUGAAGGUCCUACGGAUUGUAAACUUCUUUUAUACGGGAAUAAAGUAUCCUACGUGUAGGAUUUUGUAUGUACCGUAUGAAUAAGCAUCGGCUAACUCCGUGCCAGCAGCCGCGGUAAUUCGGAGGAUGCGAGCGUUAUCCGGAUUUAUUGGGUUUAAAGGGAGCGCAGACGGGAGAUUAAGUCAGUUGUGAAAGUUUGCGGCUCAACCGUAAAAUUGCAGUUGAUACUGGUUUCCUUGAGUGCAGUUGAGGCAGGCGGAAUUCGUGGUGUAGCGGUGAAAUGCUUAGAUAUCACGAAGAACCCCGUUUGCGAAGGCAGCUUGCUAAACUGUAACUGACGUUCAUGCUCGAAAGUGUGGGUAUCAAACAGGAUUAGAUACCCUGGUAGUCCACACGGUAAACGAUGGAUACUCGCUGUUGGCGAUAUACUGUCAGCGGCCAAGCGAAAGCAUUAAGUAUCCCACCUGGGGAGUACGCC